UACGGGGGGGGUAAGCAUUGUUCGGAAUUACUGGGCGUAAAGGGCUCGUAGGCGGCCAACUAAGUCAGACGUGAAAUCCCUCAGCUUAACUGGGGAACUGCGUCUGAUACUGGAUGGCUUGGAUUCGGGAGAGGAAUGCGGAAUUCCAGGUGUAGCGGUGAAAUGCGUAGAUAUCUGGAGGAACACCGGUGGCGAAGGCGGCAUUCUGGACCGACAUUGACGCUGAGGAGCGAAAGCCAGGGGAGCAAACGGG
rnacentral:rRNA from 1 species